AAACUCAAAGGAAUUGACGGGGAGGCACCACAACGGGUGGAGCUUGCGGUUUAACUUGGAUUCAAACGCCGGAAAUCUUACCGGGACCGACAGCAAUAUGAAGGCCAAGGCUGAAGACUUUGCCGGAUUAGCUGAGAGGUGGUGCAUGGCCGUCGUCAGUUCGUACUGUGAAGCAUCCUGUUAAGUCAGGCAACGAGCGAGACCCACGCCCACAGUUGCCAGCGUACUCUCUGGAGUGACGGGUACACUGUGGGACCGCCGCUGCUAAAGCGGAGGAAGGAAUGGGCAACGGUAGGUCAGUAUGCCCCGAAUAUCCCGGGCUACACGCGAGCUACAAUGGUUGGUACAAUGGGUAUCUACCCCGAAAGGGGACGGGAAUCUCCUAAAACCAAUCUUAGUUCGGAUUGAGGGCUGCAACUCGCCCUCAUGAAGCUGGAAUCCGUAGUAAUCGCGUUUCAACAGAACGCGGUGAAUACGUCCCUGCUCCUU
rnacentral:rRNA from 1 species